rnacentral:piRNA from 1 species
UACUAAACUACGGUUUGAUGGUAAACUCAAC